UACGUAGGGCGCAAGCGUUGUCCGGAAUUAUUGGGCGUAAAGAGCUCGUAGGCGGCUUGGUAAGUCGGAUGUGAAACCUCCAGGCUCAACCUGGAGUCGCUAUCCGAUACUGCCAUGGCUAGAGUCCGGUAGGGGCCCACGGAAUUCCUGGUGUAGCGGUGAAAUGCGCAGAUAUCAGGAGGAACACCGAUGGCGAAGGCAGUGGGCUGGGCCGGCACUGACGCUGAGGAGCGAAAGCGUGGGGAGCGAACAGG
rnacentral:rRNA from 1 species